GAUGAACGCUGGCGGCGUGCCUAAUACAUGCAAGUCGAGCGAACAGACGAGGAGCUUGCUCCUCUGAUGUUAGCGGCGGACGGGUGAGUAACACGUGGAUAACCUACCUAUAAGACUGGGAUAACUUCGGGAAACCGGAGCUAAUACCGGAUGAUAUUUUGAACCGCAUGGUUCAAUAGUGAAAGACGGUCUUGCUGUCACUUAUAGAUGGAUCCGCGCUGCAUUAGCUAGUUGGUAAGGUAACGGCUUACCAAGGCAACGAUGCAUAGCCGACCUGAGAGGGUGAUCGGCCACACUGGAACUGAGACACGGUCCAGACUCCUACGGGAGGCAGCAGUAGGGAAUCUUCCGCAAUGGGCGAAAGCCUGACGGAGCAACGCCGCGUGAGUGAUGAAGGUCUUCGGAUCGUAAAACUCUGUUAUUAGGGAAGAACAUAUGUGUAAGUAACUGUGCACAUCUUGACGGUACCUAAUCAGAAAGCCACGGCUAACUACGUG
rnacentral:rRNA from 1 species